CCAGCAGUCUCUCCGGCAGGCCCGCCCUUCCCCGCAGUUUCCCCGCUGCUUCUUUGGUGGCGCUUGUCGGAAGUUUGUUGUGGAAGACGUGGAGAUGGAGGACUGGGAUGAGGAGAAGCCGUCGGUCGCUAAGGAAGAAGCGGAGGCUGCGAACAGCGGGGGCGGCGGGGAAGAUGAGGACGACGAAGAGGAGGCGCUGCCUCACGCCGAAGUGGUGGAUGUGUUUCAGGAGGGGCUAGCCAUGAUCGUUCAGGAUCCGCUACUCUGCGACCUGCCUAUCCAGGUCACUUUGGAGGAGAUAAAUUCUCAGAUAGCUCUGGAAUAUGGCCAAGCGAUGACUGUCAGAGUAUGCAAAGUGGAUGGAGAAGUGAUGCCUGUUGUCGUGGUGCAAAAUGCCACAACCUUGGAUCUGAAGAAAGCUAUCCAGAGAUAUGUACAGCUCAAACAGGAACGAGAAGGAGGCAUUCAGCAUAUCAGCUGGUCAUAUAUAUGGAGAACAUAUCAUCUCACUUUUGCUGGAGAGAAGCUAACUGAAGAUGCGAAGAAACUUCGAGAGUAUGGCAUCCGAAACCGAGAUGAGGUCUCCUUUAUCAAGAAGCUGAGAAACAAAUGAAGUAAUGCUUAGUAAGAAGGACCUGUAAACAGGAGCAGCUUUCUGAAGAAAUAAGGAUGCAGGAGGCUACCAGGAAUAGAUCAUCUUCUCAUUCAGGGAUCAAGCAGUUCAGACCCAGUUUUGCUGCCAUGCUGAGAUCUUUACAUCCAGCCCUGAGUAUGACUAGGAAGGAGCAGGAUGACAAAUGGGGCCAUUUCCCAGGGAAUAGAAGACUUGGAACUUGGAAUCUUGUGCCUUGGGUGCAACCUUCCCAGCAUCCUCAUGUUCUCAUUGUGCUUGCCAUUUAUUCUUCCUCUACUUGAUGAUGGAUCUUUAUUUUGUGUAAAAGAAGAGCCUAUUUCUGUUGAUGAGAGAAAGUUGCUCUCUUCUCUCCAGAGCAUCCUUUCUCAUUUUGGGGAGCUUGGGCCACUUUUUUCUUGACUUGACUCAGGUUCUUUUGCCCACUUCCCACCAUGUUCCUAACUUCAUUCAGUUCUUAAAAAUAAUCAUUUUGUCCUUUCCCCAAACCUAGUUUAAGUAACCUUUUGAAUUUGUUCUGACCCACCCACAACUUUGUGUUCUAUACUACCACAGUGCCCUCAAUACCCCCAAUAUCCAUGUUUACUAUUUAUUCCCUGGUUGCUCCUGAAGCUUUCCCCUCAUUACCCUGUCAAAAUUGGCAGCCUAGAAAGGAAAAAAACACACAUAUAAUCUGAGUUAAUGGCAGCUAAAACGCUCCCGUUCCAUUUAUUGGCCACAUGUGGUGGUCGUCAGCUGGGCUAGUUAAAAAGGUAGUUAUGGACACUAGUGUAAUAAAAACCUUGAGGCAUAAAAGGGGUUCAACAAAACUGAACAAGGCACAAUCAUUCUGUUUUCAGGAAACAUGUGAGUCAUGGUGAGAUGAGGCAGGGCUAGGCUGGACUGCCAAGUGCAGAAGCCUGGAGGUGGGCAAGAUUGGCCAGUGCGAUGGGAUCCGGG